UCAGGCCUAACACAUGCAAGUCGAGCGGAAACGAGUUAACUGAACCUUCGGGGAACGUUAACGGCGUCGAGCGGCGGACGGGUGAGUAAUGCCUGGGAAAUUGCCCUGAUGUGGGGGGUAACCAUUGGAAACGAUGGCUAAUACCGCAUAAUAGCUUCGGCUCAAAGAGGGGGACCUUCGGGCCUCUCGCGUCAGGAUAUGCCCAGGUGGGAUUAGCUAGUUGGUGAGGUAAGGGCUCACCAAGGCGACGAUCCCUAGCUGGUCUGAGAGGAUGAUCAGCCACACUGGAACUGAGACACGGUCCAGACUCCUACGGGAGGCAGCAGUGGGGAAUAUUGCACAAUGGGCGCAAGCCUGAUGCAGCCAUGCCGCGUGUAUGAAGAAGGCCUUCGGGUUGUAAAGUACUUUCAGCAGUGAGGAAGGUGGUAGUGUUAAUAGCACUAUCAUUUGACGUUAGCUGCAGAAGAAGCACCGGCUAACUCCGUGCCAGCAGCCGCGGUAAUACGGAGGGUGCGAGCGUUAAUCGGAAUUACUGGGCGUAAAGCGCAUGCAGGUGGUUUGUUAAGUCAGAUGUGAAAGCCCGGGGCUCAACCUCGGAAUUGCAUUUGAAACUGGCAGACUAGAGUACUGUAGAGGGGGGUAGAAUUUCA
rnacentral:rRNA from 1 species